AAGGGUAAGAGUAAAUGGCCAAUUAUAACAGCUGAGGGAGGUCACCAAUGGAGACCCACAGGGACUGUGCUAGGACUCAUGCUGUUUAACAUAUUCUUAAAUGCUGAGAAGCAGAGGGUGGGCUGAGAAGGAGCAAAUUUUACCGAGAAUACCAGUUUAUUCAGGGGAAGAAAUUUGAAGGCCAGCAGUGGAAAACUUCCAGCACACCAAAAAGAGUCUUUCUGCCAUCAUUUCUUCCAUUUCCUCUCAGUGAUUCCUAAGCAGAGGCUAAUCUCUGUGAAGCACCUGCAAGCAGCCAUCUUCUUAAGCCAAGAAAUCCACCAAAGGAUAUUGGAUAUUGAAUUUCACUGGCCCACGAUAAGGAGGUAGAGACUUAUGAUAUCAGAUAGCAGAAGAAUGACUUCAAGCCAGCGUACUGAAGCAAAAGCAACUGCAUGUGGCUGAAGAGCAUGGAACAGUGCUGAAAGGAGGAGAUUUAACUUGUAAUCUCUAAGCAAGAUAAAGAAAGUCUAAAGGCCAGGAAUCAUUAGUCCAUGACCUAUACAUAAUAGGCACUGAUGCUCAUCAAAGUUAGAUCUUGGUACAUACCUUGUUAUACCUGCUUGGCAAUUUGGUUAUAUUUCAUGACAAACUUCUGCUAGCAGAUUUUCUACUGAAUAAACUCUAAAGUCUUUGACUUCCUCCUACUUAUUUCAUACUUUUCUUUAUAUUGCAUUUUUUUUUCCUAAAUCAUAUUCAUACUUGACUUAUCCCAAAAAUAUAUUAAAGAAAUAUUAAAGAACUUUGCACAUUUAUUUUGUUUCUUAAGCUGUUACAGUCUUUUCUCAUUUUCUGUCUGAUCCAAUUAUUACCUGAAUUUUUUGUCUCUGUUUAACUGAUAGUUUGUCUAUACCUAUGCAGUAUGAAAAUGACUAAAUAUAGUGUAGAAAUACUUUUAUAUUUACAUAUGUAUACGUGUGCAGAUGUUUAUACAUCUUCUACAUACACAUAAAGUGGAUAUUAGAACAAUGGUAACGUCACAGAGGCAAAGUCAUAGCAGUAAGGUAAGCAACUCCAUAAAGUUUGAAUUUAAGCCA